CAACGCUUUGAGUGGACGCUCCGUAUCAUAUUAAUUCUUUUAUGCGCAAUUCGUUUGUAAUUUAGUGCGAAUAAAGUGUAAAAAUCAAGACUGUGCAAUCAAUUAAGAUCUUCUAUCCACGACAGCGUUCUUUAUAUCGUCGAUACCAGUUGAGACUCUGGCGUGGUCCGGGAAGCUGCGAAAUAGUAAGAAGUAAUAGAAAUAUCCUUCCGCCGUCGUAGGAUCAGUGGCGUCGGUAACGUUUCUAGAACUUAAUUAAGAUUUAAGCGACACAGUCACAGCGAAUGUAUAAAAUUCUCGAUUCAGU
rnacentral:lncRNA from 1 species